GAUGAACGCUGGCGGCGUGCUUAACACAUGCAAGUCGAACGAAGCACCUUGAUUUGAUUCUUCGGAUGAAGAUCUUGGUGACUGAGUGGCGGACGGGUGAGUAACGCGUGGGUAACCUGCCUCAUACAGGGGGAUAACAGUUAGAAAUGACUGCUAAUACCGCAUAAGACCACAGCACCGCAUGGUGCAGGGGCAAAAACUCCGGUGGUAUGAGAUGGACCCGCGUCUGAUUAGGUAGUUGGUGGGGUAACGGCCUACCAAGCCGACGAUCAGUAGCCGGCCUGAGAGGGUGAACGGCCACAUUGGGACUGAGACACGGCCCAG
rnacentral:rRNA from 1 species